rnacentral:rRNA from 1 species
GAUGAACGCUGGCGGCGUGCCUAACACAUGCAAGUCGAACGGAGUCCAGCCUUUAAGACCUUCGGGUCAAAGAGGGGAAGACUGAGUGGCGGACGGGUGAGUAACACGUGGGCAACCUGGCUCAUAGAGGGGGAUAACACAGAGAAAUUUCUGCUAAUACCGCAUAAGCACACACUGCCGCAUGGCAGAGGGUGAAAAGAGAAUCGCUAUGAGAUGGACCCGCGUCUGAUUAGCCAGUUGGCAGGGUAAGAGCCUACCAAAGCGACGAUCAGUAGCCGAUCUGAGAGGAUGAACGGCCACAUUGGGACUGAGCCACGGCCCAAACUCCUACGGGAGGCAGCAGUGGGGGAUAUUGCACAAUGGGGGGAACCCUGAUGCAGCGACGCCGCGUGAGUGAAGAAGUAUUUCGGUAUGUAAAGCUCUAUCAGCAGGGAAGAUAAUGACAGUACCUGAAUAAGAAGCCCCGGCUAACUACGUG